CACGGUGACGUUGGACCUGUUGGCCCCUUGACAUGGGACAUCCGGAUGAAAAUUGCAGUCGGAAUAGCUAAAGGGCUAGCCUAUCUGCAUGAAGGUCUAGAACCAAAAAAGUAGUACAUCGGGAUGUAAAAGCUAGCAAUAUUCUUCUGGACAAAGGAUGGAAUCCCAAGAUAUCAGAUUUCGGCCUCGCCAAACUCUUGGGGUCUGAGGCUAGCCACGUGACUACGCGUGUAAUGGGCACUUUUUGGUUACGUUUCUCCUGAGUAUGCAAGCACGGGCAUGCUUAAUGAAUGGAGUGAUGUAUACAGUUUCGGGGUUUUACUGAUGGAGAUAGUAACGGGAAGGACUCCGAUUGACUAUUCCAGACCAGCAGCAGAGGUGAAUAUUUUGCUCACUAGGAUAACUUUCUGUAAUGACCGAUAAACCUUACUCGACAUCCUGAGGUUUCUGUUGCAUGUUCGUCAGA